rnacentral:rRNA from 1 species
AUGUCCAACCGGCUCGCCCCACACAUGAACGACCUUGUUUCACAGGCGCAAAGUGCUUUCAUCAAACGACGAUGUAUACAUGAUAACUUCACGUAUGUGCGCAAUCUUGCGAGGCAUCUCCACCGAAACAAAACACCGGCGUUGCUUUUCAAGUUGGAUAUCAAGAAAGCCUUCGACUCUGUUCGCUGGGACUAUCUCCUCGACCUUCUCAAACACCUUGGAGUUCCUCCGCGCUUCCGUGGUUGGGUCUCGACUCUUUUAGCUUCGGCAUCUUCGCGAGUCUUGCUCAACGGUAUUCCGGGCAACCCUAUCAAGCUUGGGAAGGGCUUGAGGCAAGGAGAUCCUCUAUCCCCCCUUCUUUUUGUUCUGGCGAUCGAUCCUCUGCACCAUAUUCUCAAGAAGGCUACUGCCCAAGGAAAGCUGCACCCUCUUGGUAACGCCAUGACGAUCAGGGCGUCCCUCUACGCGGAUGACGCGGCUGUUUUUCUUGCUCCCAUCAAAACCGAAGUCAAGUUCUUUGUGGACACGCUGGCCCACUUUGGAGAGGUUACGGGCCUGCAUACCAACUGCUCGAAAAGCCUUGUUGCCCCAAUCCGAUGUGACAACUUGGAUCUGAAUGAUAUCCUCCUCUUCUUCCCGGCCAACCGCUCAUCAUUCCCUAUGAAAUAUCUGGGUCUGCCGUUGUCGAUCAAAAGAUUAAAUAGAAUCCACUUCCAACCUCUCGAGGAUAAGAUUGCGGCACAACUUAAGCCUUGGAUGGGCAAACACGUUGCAUCGCCAGGAAGGGUUGUUCUUCUCAAGUCGGUUGUAACGGCGAUUGCUAUAUAUUACCUGACGGUGCUAAACAUCCCUGUGGAGGUACUGAAAAAGAUUGACUCCCUGCGGCGUGCAUACCUCUGGGCUGGUUGUGACAAGGUUUCUGGGGGAAAAUGCAAAAUCAACUGGGAGCAAGUGUGCAAAUCUAAACUGCAUGGUGGCCUAGGUAUUCUCUGUUGGGGAACGUAG